rnacentral:ribozyme from 2 species
ACCUUAAUGCGGCUCAUCUUGAAUGAACGGUCACAAGCCCGAUAACGCAGAGUGAGGA